rnacentral:rRNA from 1 species
CAAUAGCGUAUAUUAAAGUUGUUGCAGUUAAAAAGCUCGUAGUUGGAUUUCUGGUUGAAGCGACCGGUCGGGCGUUGAUUCGUCUGCACUGGAGUCGGUUUUGGCCAUCCUCUAGGAAAGUGCGUCUGGUAUUAAGUUAUCGGGCGUAUGAUCCUGGUCUUUUACUGUGAAAAAAUUAGAGUGUUUAAAGCAGGCCUUCGCCUUGAAUACAUUAGCAUGGGAUAAUAAGAUAGGACUUUGGUCUAUUUUGUUGGUUUGCAGACCGAAGUAAUGAUUAAUAGGGAUAGUUGGGGGUAUUUAUAUUCCGAUGUCAGAGGUGAAAUUCUUAGAUUUUCGGAAGAUAAACUUAUGCGAAAGCAUUUACCAAGGAUGUUUUCAUUAA